UGGCGGACGGGUGAGUAACGCGUGGGUAACCUGCCCCAUGCAGGGGGAUAACGGUUAGAAAUGACUGCUAAUACCGCAUAAGCGCACAGUACCGCAUGGUACGGUGUGAAAAACUCCGGUGGUAUGAGAUGGACCCGCGUCUGAUUAGCUAGUUGGUGGGGUAACGGCCCACCAAGGCGACGAUCAGUAGCCGACCUGAGAGGGUGACCGGCCACAUUGGGACUGAGACACGGCCCAG
rnacentral:rRNA from 1 species